rnacentral:lncRNA from 1 species
CAUUAAUUAGUUCUCAUGAGAAUGUUUUAUCUUUUGUCCACGUUGGUUGAUUUAUGAUUAAGCAUAUGGACAAGGUCCUAUGAAUCAGAAUUAAUCCUAAAACUCCUAUUAACUAUUAGGAAAAGUAACAGAAUAGUCCAAUCAUUUUAUCAACCUUAAAAUGAUAUAAACUUAGGACUUUAAAACUGCUUGCAGCCACCAUCCAAACAGAACCAUGAAUGAAGCCACAGAGAUUAGUAAGGGGAAGGGUGUGGUGAUCCAAGGGAGAUGGAAGAAGAAUAGAAGAGUUGAUAAUGGAAACUGAGCUUCUAUAUCUCACCAUAUCAAAAUCUAUCCUUGUAUUUUUCAGUUACGUUAUCUUUUAUAUUAACAAGUAUUUGAAUUGAUUCAUUAUAAUUUGUAACUGAAUGAGCUCUUUGAAAGUAAACACCCAACAGAAAUGAAAGACAAAAUAAUCAGAUUACCAAUCUUAAAAUGAUAUAAAGCUGACAGAUGUUAUGCUCCUAGACCUAAUCCUAUGGAUAAACAGAAGGAAGUAUAACUUGGUAGCUUAUGAUAUUAUUAGUCACUAAGAAUUUUAUAAGCCAUAUAAAAUUUUGAUGCUUCAUUUGGGUUACACCUUAGAUUGUACAAAGUUUUCUACAUUUAUAUUUACUCACAUUCAUUUCAAGCUGAAAAAAAACUCCUAAAAAUUUGAACUCUCCACCUUCAUGGAGUGUACACAUUGAUAUGAGUAUCUGGCAGGUGACACAUCAUAUUUAUAUUUUGUUUGUAAGAAUCCAAGUUACAGCAUUUUGUAUACAUCGGUAUUAUGAUAAUUUGAUUUUUGACUGGACUGCUCUGCAUAUUGAAAU